GCAGUGCCGGGGUAACCGCGGCCACGCGGCCGCCAGCUCCAGCCCACCCGUGCCGCCUCCCGGGGAGCUGCGGGGCGCUCGGCCCCUGGGGCUGCACGGGGAGCUGCGCCGCUCUCCGGCGAGCGGCGCAGACUUUGAAUUCCUGCCUUCUUCUUUAACCAGAGAACUGAGUGGGCAGGGCACACAUCCACAAAGUCUCAGGCGACACUGCCCCGCGGUGAGAGAGGCGACGGGAGCGCUGCGUGGCCCAGCACAGGACGAGGUCCGGGAACCGCGGAAACGCAGGAUCAUCUCCCAAAUAAAUUGUCUGCACAGUGCUUGUUAUAGGCUCUGCUUCCAGGGAACCCAGGCCAAGAAAAUUACCCAAGGACGGACACCAAUGAGAUUUCCCAAGAACGAAUAUCAAGGUCAAAAUGGGAUAAUAUCUUCAAACUGUUGAGGACAAAUCAUUGCUAACUUUGAAUUCCAUACCCAGCUGAAGUCCCAUCCAUGUGAGGAGAGGGAAGAGAUGGUCAAAAAAGUAUAAAAAUGUCCUUGGAAAACAGAAGAGAAAUAGAGAUGGGGCACCAGUGCUUUCCAGGCUGGGCCAGCUUCCAUCUGGGGAAGCUCUGCGGCCAGAUAAACUGCACAUCUUCUGAGCAAGUGAG
rnacentral:lncRNA from 1 species